rnacentral:rRNA from 1 species
UACGUAGGGGGCAAGCGUUGUCCGGAUUUAUUGGGCGUAAAGAGCUCGUAGGCGGCCUGUCGCGUCGGAUGUGAAAGCCCGGGGCUUAACCCCGGGUCUGCAUUCGAUACGGGCAGGCUAGAGUGUGGUAGGGGAGAUCGGAAUUCCUGGUGUAGCGGUGAAAUGCGCAGAGAUCAGGAGGAACACCCGUAGCGAAGGCGGCACUCUGGGCCUUGACUGACGCUGAGGAGCGAAAGCGUGGGUAGCGAACAGG